GGUGAGUAACGCGUUGGUGACCUGCCCCGAAGCGGGGGAUAACAGUUCGAAAGGGCUGCUAAUACCCCAUGAGGUGCCAUAGGUUAGAGGCUAUGGCAUUAAAGGAGCGAUCCGCUUUGGGAGGGGCCUGCGUCCCAUCAGCUGGUUGGUAGGGUAAAGGCCUACCAAGGCAAAGACGGGUAGGGGGCCUGAGAGGGUGACCCCCCACAAUGGAACUGAAACACGGUCCAUACACCUACGGGUGGCAGCAGUAGGGAAUAUUGCACAAUGGGCGAAAGCCUGAUGCAGCAACGCCGCGUGUGCGAUGAAGGCCUCCGGGUUGUAAAGCACUUUUCGGGGAGAUGAGGAAGGACAGUAUCCCCGGAAUAAGGCUCGGCUAACUACGUGCCAGCAGCCGCGGUAAAACGUAGGAGCCAAGCGUUAUCCGAAUUUACUGGGCGUAAAGCGCGUGUAGGCGGCGCGAAAAGUUGGAUGUGAAAGCUCCUGGCUCAACUGGGAGAGGACGUUCAAAACUACCGAGCUAGAGGGCGACAGAGGGAGGUGGAAUUCCCGGUGUAGUGGUGAACUGCGUAGAUAUCGGGAGGAACACCAGUGGCGAAGGCGGCCUCCUGGGUCGCACCUGACACUCAGACGCGAAAGCUAGGGUAGCGAACGGGAUUAGAAACCCCGGUAGUCCUAGCCGUAAACGAUGUAGACUUGGUGUUGCUGGUGUAAGAGCCAUCAGUGCCUGAAGCCCACGCGAUAAGUCUACCGGCCUGGGGACUACGGCCGCAAGGUU
rnacentral:rRNA from 1 species